rnacentral:lncRNA from 1 species
CCCAGCUCUAACCCCUCUUUAAUGGGAGGCUCUUUUUUUGGAAGGGCAGUGCUAGACAGGUAUGGGUCAGUUCUCUUCUGAUAGUCCCAGAGUCUACAGCGAACCAAAGAUGAAAGCUCUGAAGGAGAGACACCAGUACUCACAGGUCUCAUGUCCAUGCUCCGUCCAAGGGGACCUAGCUACUUCCUUACCCCUUCUCAGUUUCAGGAGAAGAAAAGUGUUGGGAGAUUGGUGAAGACCCUUUCCCACCAAUUGCUGUGGUGAACCCUCCAGCAAGGGCAUGGCUACUUUCAGGAAAGCAAAGAGGGUCCUCUGCUUCUCUAUCCUUCCCAAAAAACAUGGGCUGGGGGUAACCCUAAAGAGCAGCCAUGGAGGACUGUGGGAAGGACUCAGCCUUGCUGUAGAAGCUCUCUGCAAAGCAAGAGGCAGGGUAUGGUAACAUGCCAAUUCCUGGUUAAAUUGGACUUGAUAGGUGAAAGAUGUCAGGCUGUGUGUGGUCACAUUGUACAUAUGCAUGCCUGGGGGUUACCAGGCUGUAUGCAAAUGUACAAGGAAGAGGUAGGCUCUGAGAACCUGCCAGGGCCCCUGGGAUGAGCUGUGGAUUUUUGCCCCUGAUCCCAUGACAAAGUCCUCAGCUCAGCUUCCCUGAGUCCACAGAGGGUUGCCUCAGACGAACUGGGAUCUGAAGUCCUGAGAAAGCACCAGCUUCCACCACUCCCAAGUCCUGGAGGGUAUCCAGUAACUGCUCCCGGGCAGCACCAAUAAAGCAAUUCUCCAGAAAGAUGGGCAGGCCUCCCACACCAUCACGCAGGGUAUACAUGGGCACUCGCACCAGGCCCAGCACCUGUAAAAGGAAGGAGACAGGAGACACUGGGACUCCAGGUAGCUCAUGUCACUACCUCCAUCCUCUCUUUAGCAGAUCUUUCUAGAGCAGAUGCCGCAACUCUUAAUACUCCAGCAGAAACAAGCCCAAGGCUCCUAUAUAAAGGAGGCCCAGUGGGCUCAACCCUCUGCAGACAAAUGACCCAAGACAUGCUAUCCAGCUCCAUCAAUGUUAGCCUUAUGACUUCUGUCCCCUAAACCUCUAGUGGCUCCUAACGCCAAAAUUCAUGCUUAGCCCUGCAACAAUGGUUCUCAAAAUGGGAAACCUAGACCACCGUUAUCAGCAUCACUUGGGAACUUUUGAAAAAAGCAAUCUCAGAUUUCUGAACCCCUGCCCUCCCAGAACUUGGGAGUGGUGGAAGCUGGUGCUUUCUCACCCACAACCAGCGUUCUGGGAGUAGAAUC